rnacentral:rRNA from 1 species
GUAGGUGAACCUGCGGAAGGAUCAUUAAUGAAUUUAGAUUGAACCAUAGGCGAAAGCCAGUGGUUCUUCUUUCAUAUCCAUAACACCUGUGCACUGUUGGAUGCUUGCAUCCACUUUUAAACUAAACAUUAUUGUAACAAAUGUAGUCUUAUUAUAACAUAAUAAAACUUUCAACAACGGAUCUCUUGGCUCUCGCAUCGAUGAAGAACGCAGCGAAAUGCGAUAAGUAAUGUGAAUUGCAGAAUUCAGUGAAUCAUCGAAUCUUUGAACGCACCUUGCGCUCCUUGGUAUUCCGAGGAGCAUGCCUGUUUGAGUGUCAUGAAACCCUCAAACCCAAGUUUUGGAUUUCGAUCCAUGCUUGAGUUUGGAUUUGGAUGUUUGCCGGUGAUGAACCGACUCAUCUUAAAAGUAUUAGCUUGGAUCUGUCUAUAUGACUGGUUUGACUUGGCAUAAUAAGUAUUUUGCUGAGGACAUCUUCGGAUGGCCAGGACCUAGACUACUGUCUGCUAACUAAACCAUCACUUUAAGUGCAUCUUUGGAUGUUACUCAUUGUGUAACUUUGACAUCUGGCCUCAAAUCAAGUAGGACUACCCGCUGAACUUAAGCAUAUCAAUAAGCCGGAGGAA